rnacentral:rRNA from 1 species
GUAGGGAAUAUUGGGCAAUGGAUGCAAGUCUGAUCCAGCCAUGCCGCGUGUGUGAAGAAGGUCUUCGGAUUGUAAAGCACUUUAAGUUGGGAGGAAGGGCAGUAAGUUAAUACCUUGCUGUUUUGACGUUACCGACAGAAUAAGCACCGGCUAACUUCGUGCCAGCAGCCGCGGUAAUACGAAGGGUGCAAGCGUUAAUCGGAAUUACUGGGCGUAAAGCGCGCGUAGGUGGUUUUGUAAGUUGGAGGUGAAAUCCCCGGGCUCAACCUGGGAACUGCCUCCAAAACUGCAUGACUAGAGUACGGUAGAGGGUAGUGGAAUUUCCUGUGUAGCGGUGAAAUGCGUAGAUAUAGGAAGGAACACCAGUGGCGAAGGCGACUACCUGGACUGAUACUGACACUGAGGUGCGAAAGCGUGGGGAGCAAACAGGAUUAGAUACCCGUGUAGUCC